AGGAUAAACGCUGGCGGCGUGCCUAACACAUGCAAGUCGAACGCGCUUUCGGGCUUCGGUGCGAGAGCGAGUGGCGGACGGGUGAGUAACACAUGGGUACCUGCCUUUCAGUGAGGGAUACCGGCGAGAAAUCGCCGACAAUACCGCAUGGGCUUGUGGGAACACAAGCAAAGUGGCGCAAGCCACGCUGGAAGAUGGGCCUGUGGCCGAUUAGCUAGUUGGGGGGUAAUGGCCUCCCAAGGCGACGAUCGGUAGCUGGUCUGAGAGGACGAUCAGCCACACUGGGAUUGAGAACGGCCCAGACUCCUACGGGGGGCAGCAGUGAGGAAUUUUCCGCAAUGGACGAAAGUCUGACGGAGCAACGCCGCGUGCAGGAGGAAGGUUUUCGGAUCGUAAACUGCUUUUCUCGGGGACGAGCAAGGACGGUACCCGAGGAAGAGCCCCGGCUAACUACGCGCCAGCAGCCGC
rnacentral:rRNA from 1 species